GACAGAGGGUGCAAACGUUGUUCGGAAUUACUGGGCGUAAAGCGCGUGUAGGCGGCUAUGUAAGUCGGGCGUGAAAUCCCACGGCUCAACCGUGGAAGUGCACCCGAAACUGCGUAGCUAGAGUCCUGGAGAGGAAGGUGGAAUGCUUGGUGUAGAGGUGAAAUUCGUAGAUAUCAAGCGGAACACCGGUGGCGAAGGCGGUCUUCUGGACAGUGACUGACGCUGAGACGCGAAAGCGUGGGGAGCAAACAGG
rnacentral:rRNA from 1 species